rnacentral:rRNA from 1 species
GUACACUCCUGCGGGAGGCAGCAGUGGGGAAUUUUGGACAAUGGGCGAAAGCCUGAUCCAGCAAUGCCGCGUGAGUGAAGAAGGCCUUCGGGUUGUAAAGCUCUUUUGUCAGGGAAGAAACGGUGAAAGCUAAUAUCUUUUGCUAAUGACGGUACCUGAAGAAUAAGCACCGGCUAACUACGUGCCAGCAGCCGCGGUAAUACGUAGGGUGCAAGCGUUAAUCGGAAUUACUGGGCGUAAAGCGUGCGCAGGCGGUUUUGUAAGUCUGAUGUGAAAUCCCCGGGCUCAACCUGGGAAUUGCAUUGGAGACUGCAAGGCUAGAAUCUGGCAGAGGGGGGUAGAAUUCCACGUGUAGCAGUGAAAUGCGUAGAUAUGUGGAGGAACACCGAUGGCGAAGGCAGCCCCCUGGGUCAAGAUUGACGCUCAUGCACGAAAGCGUGGGGAGCAAACAGGAUUAGAUACCCCGGUAGUCCCAUGAU